rnacentral:rRNA from 1 species
UCGAACGCAGUAGCAAUACUGAGUGGCGAACGGGUGAGUAUAAUGUGGGUAUCUGCCUUUUGGUGAGGAAUAACACGAGGAAACUUGUGCUAAUACCUCAUAAGCCUUUACAGGGAAAGUUUUAACGCCAAAAGAUGAGCCCACACUUGAUUAGCUAGUUGGUGAGGUAAGAGCUCACCAAGGCAACGAUCAAUAGCUGUUCUUAGAGGAAGACCAGCCACAUUGGGACUGAGACACGGCCCAAACUCCUACGGGAGGCAGCAGUGGGGAAUCUUGCACAAUGGGGGAAACCCUGAUGCAGCGAUGCCGCGUGAGUGAAGAAGGCCUUUGGGUUGUAAAGCUCUUUCGUCGGGGAAGAAAAUGACUGUACCCGAAUAAGAAGGUCCGGCUAACUUCGUGCCAGCAGCCGCGGUAAUACGAAGGGACCUAGCGUAGUUCGGAAUUACUGGGCUUAAAGAGCUCGUAGGUGGUUAAAAAAGUUGGUGGUGAAAUCCCAAGGCUUAACCUUGGAACUGCCACCAAAACUUUUUGACUAGAGUAUGAUAGAGGUAAGCGGAAUUUCUAGUGUAGAGGUGAAAUUCGUAGAUAUUAGAAAGAACACCAAUUGCGAAGGCAACUUUCUGGAUCAUUACUGACACUGAGGAGCGAAAGCAUGGGUAGCGAAGAGGAUUAGAUACCCUCGUAGUCCAUGCUGUAAACGAUGUGUGCUAGACGUUGGAAAUUUAUUUUUCAGUGUCGCAGCAAAAGCAUUAAGCACACCGCCUGGGGAGUACGACCGCAAGGUUAAAACUCAAAUGAAUUGACGGGGACCCGCACAAGCAGUGGAGCAUGUGGUUUAAUUCGAAGAUACGCGCAGAACCUUACCAACACUUGACAUGUUCGUCGCGAACCUAAGAGAUUAGGUUCUUCAUUCAGUUGGACGAAACACAGUGCUGCAUGACUGUCGUCAGCUCGUGUCGUGAGAUGUGGUAGUCCCGCACGAGCGCACCCUUACUUUAGUGCAUCAUUUAGUGAGCACUCUAAAAGACUGCAGUGAUAGCUGGAGAGGCGGGGAUGACGUCAGUCUCAUGGGCCUUACUUGUUGGGCUACCACUGCUACAAUGGGAGUUUACAUGAGAACCAAAGGGGCACCUCCAAGCUUAUCUUUUAAAAUGUCUAGCUUCGAAUGAAGCUUCAACUCAAUAAAUGAAGCUUGAAAAUUCCAGUAAAAAAACG